UCCGGUUUGUCACCGGCAGUCUGGCGUGAGUCCCCAACUUAAUGCUGGCAACACGCCACGGGGGUUGCGCUCGUUGCGGGACUUAACCCAACAUCUCACGACACGAGCUGACGACAGCCAUGCAGCACCUGUGCUGCGGCCCCGAAGGGGGCCCCCGCUUUCACGGGGGUUUCCGCAGCAUGUCAAGCCCAGGUAAGGUUCUUCGCGUUGCGUCGAAUUAAACUACAUGCUCCACCGCUUGUGCGGGCCCCCGUCAAUUCCUUUGAGUUUCAGCCUUGCGGCCGUACUCCCCAGGCGGGGCACUUAAUGCGUUAGCGCCGGCACCCGGAGGGUCGCUCCCCCGGGCACCUAGUGCCCAUCGUUUACGGCGUGGACUAC
rnacentral:misc_RNA from 1 species